AUCCUUGGAGUUGUAUUGCAGCUCAAUCGACCCCUGCUUCCUGUCCCUCCUCCACAGGUGCGGACCCCCAGAUACCUGUCAGACAUUCUGCACACUAUCCUGUAUCGGAGCUGGCCUGAGAGAGAUCCAACCAACUCAAGACUAUGCCACUGUCCCUCAGAGCUGAAAGGAGACCUCGUUGGCCCCACUCUCCCCUUUUGUGCCAGCACAUUCUCUGCAGUUUCUUUAUAGCUUGAAUCAGUCUGUCAUCAACUGGAUUUGUUUAGUGCUUGUUUCCCCUUGCCCCAGUUCCCUUUACUAAAAUAGAAGAUUCUUGUCUGCCUUGAAGACACUCAACAAAUAUCAGCUCCUGUUCUGAAUCUUGACAUCAGAAAGCACCAAACUCUUGGAGAAUCUAUAGAACAGCAAAACAGCCAACUGAAGAAUCAGCAACAACAACAGCGGCAACAACAAAACAGUGGAGAAGGACAUAGAGUUAUCUAUGUUUACUUACCCAGAUGAGAGUCCCCUGCUCUCCCAAUGUGACAAGACCCCCCUUUCCACAAGCAUGCAUCCUCACACCUGCUGAGAAGAUAUGGUUCUGGAAAGGAGCCAGGAAAGAGCAACAAAUUGAAUUAUCUAGGAGAGUGGUCAGAGAUUUUGGACUCUCUUUGAAAAUUCCAUCCAUUCUUUUACCCUACCAAUGUAUAUUGGGAGCAACUGGAGGGAUAGCUGAAAAGCACCCUGAAUACUGUUUCAAGGUAAGAGUACUCAUCAAAUGUUAGUUGAGAAUCAAUGGGGAAACAUUUAAGGCUCCAAUCCUGGCUAUAUGACCUUGGAUAAGUC
ensembl:lncRNA